AAAGUCACUCCAUCCGCGGGUGUCCACGGCAUAGUUGAGGUUAAGCCACUUAGUCAUAGAGGCAAGUGAAUGCGCAACAAGGAAUCUCUAAUCCUCGUUAAGAGAGGAUGAAUACUCUAAGAUAUGAUUCGGCAAUCUUCGGCCGAAGUAUCGAGCGUAAUAAAGGAAAGCGUUCCUAUACGACUCAAAUGAAUCAUAUAAGAAGGAAUAAUCACAUUAGGGGUUUGAUAUAAUAUAUCCAUACCCUAGUAAUGUGAUUGAGAGUAUUGUUUUAGAGAAGGAUCGAAUUACAUUGUAAUUCCAACUGAAUAGAUUCUC
rnacentral:lncRNA from 1 species